rnacentral:lncRNA from 1 species
GGAUGAUUACACCCAAUGGCUCUAGGACCUGGGUUAUAAAUUGCUGUGUCCUCACUGCAGCUCGGUUUGGAGCAACUCUGAAAGGUGUCCCUCUUCAGAGCUCCCUGUCAGCCUGCUGAAGCUCCUCAGUGCCACAUCACAGACAACUUUCACCUCCGCCUUGCCCCUGCCCUCUCCUACUGCCUUCGCUCUCUCCUCCCCUCCCACGCUGAACCCGGAUGCUCCUUAACAAGCCAUCAGUUGCCUUCUGAGACUGCUUUGCUGGGAAACUUCAGCAAUGAAAGUGACCCACACCACCAAGAAACUUUGUCACUUGUUGCUUUGCCAUGUUCUCCUGUAUGGGGUGCAUAAGUGUAAAGAAACCAAUUUUCUACUCUCUUGCCAAAGAAGAGUAAAUUGAAAUUCACCACUUGCUGAAAGGACAAGCAGCAUGUCAAUGAGACCUCUCCAUGAC